rnacentral:rRNA from 1 species
GACGAACGCUGGCGGCGCGCCUAACACAUGCAAGUCGAACGAGAGAUGAGGAGCUUGCUCUUCAAAUCGAGUGGCGAACGGGUGAGUAACGCGUGAGGAACCUGCCUCAAAGAGGGGGACAACAGUUGGAAACGACUGCUAAUACCGCAUAAGCCCACAGCUCGGCAUCGAGCAGAGGGAAAAGGAGCAAUCCGCUUUGAGAUGGCCUCGCGUCCGAUUAGCUAGUUGGUGGGGUAAUGGCCCACCAAGGCGACGAUCGGUAGCCGGACUGAGAGGUUGAACGGCCACAUUGGGACUGAGACACGGCCCAGACUCCUACGGGAGGCAGCAGUGGGGAAUAUUGCACAAUGGGGGAAACCCUGAUGCAGCGACGCCGCGUGGAGGAAGAAGGUCUUCGGAUUGGUAAAACUCCUGUUGUUGAGGAAGAUAAUGACGGUACUCAACAAGGAAGUGACGGCUAACUACGUG